rnacentral:misc_RNA from 1 species
GAUGAAGAACGCAGUGAAAUGCGAUAAGUAAUGUGAAUUGCAGAAUUCAGUGAAUCAUCGAAUCUUUGAACGCACAUUGCGCCCGCCAGUAUUCUGGCGGGCAUGCCUGUUCGAGCGUCAUUUCAACCAUCAUGCCCCAGGCUUGUGUUGGGGACCUGCGGCUGCCGCAGGCCCUGAAAACCAGUGGCGGGCUCGCUGUCACACCGGGCGUAGUAGAUUUUAUCUCGCUCAGGGCGUGCUGCGGGUUCCGGCCGUUAAAAAGCCUUUUUUACCCAAGGUUGACCUCGGAUCAGGUAGGAAGACCCGCUGAACUUAAGCAUAUCAAUAAGCGGAGGA